GUGAAGUCGCUCGGUCGUGUCCGACGCUUCGCGACCCCAUGGACUGUAGCCCACCAGGCUCCUCCGUCCAUGGGAUUUUCCAGGCAAGAGGGCUGGAGUGGGCUGCCAUUUCCAAAGUUGAGUGUAAAUCUAUCUUCUUUCUAAUUGUUUUCUACUUGUCUCAUCUGUUCUAUGUUUUUCUCUUAUUUACUGUCUUUUAGUUUAACUAGCACUUUUUAUUGGCUAAUUGGCUGUAUGCCUUAGUUUUUUUAGUGGUUGCUGUAGGAGUAGGGGUGUGUGUGCAUCUGUAUUUUUUUUUUUAAGGUAGACUGAGUUUUUACAAAUGGAAUCUACCUUAAAAUAAUGCUCCUUAUAGAACAUGUUACGGCUCUACACUUCCAUUUUUUUCCUCUUCUUUGUUGUCAGUCAUUUUAUUUUUAUAUUUGCACACAUGAACUUGUUUUAGGCAGUUUCCUUUUUAAGAUAUGAAGCAGGGGGAAAGUCUUAUUACCAAAAUCUUUGUUGUUUCCAUCACUCUUCAUUUUCUUGUAAAAAUCUGCUUUUGGUAUUUUCCUUCUGCCUGUAGAACUUUAAUUUUUUAAUAUUACAGGUCUGCUGAUAGCUUUUGCUUGUCUGAAAACGUAUUUUUACUUCACUUGUGAAGGAUAUUUUCAUGGGUAUAGAGUUCUAGCUUUUUUAUUGCAGCGCUAAUCACUGUGAAUUUCACUUUGUUGAGUGCUGGAUUUUGUACUCAUGUAAAAGGUGCUGGGUUUCAUUCUGGCAUGGGGUUAUCUGGAGUUGUUCUGGUUUGGGUCUUGCUUUUCAAGUGUUAGGACAGAUCCAGAGGGGUCUUUUAGGACUGACUUGCCCGCGACGGAGGCAGUGCUCUUCUAAGUAGUCCACUGAGGCUCUUCCCACCCUGCCCGGGGAGCGUGAGCUCGGCCCAGCUUCUAAGCAGUCCACUGAGGUUCUUCCCAGCCUGCCCGGGGAGCAUGAGCUCGGCCCAGCUUCGUACCAGUUCUCAGUGCCGAUCAGUCUCCAGCUUCAGGUAACUUUCUACCUGAAAAUUGUAUUGAUUGGCACUCAAGCAUAGGCCACAGAUUCUGGUGCUCGCUCACUCCUUGUGCAGCAGGAUAUGCCACACUUCAGGCCCCUUCUGCCCUCCAGCAUGGAUUGGGUCCCUCAGAGUUGUGGGCCUGGCAAGGGAUAGUUGAGAAGGGGAUGGUGGGAUCUGGUCUUUCUGGAGCUAAUAGAAGCCAGGCGCAUAGUGACUGCUGGGGAUUCACUUGUACUCUGGACAUCUCUUUCCCAGCAGAGUGCUAAAGGUUGGCAAGCACGAAGAGGAACAAACCAGAAUCUUGGUCCCUGUGAGUUCAUGAUGCCCUUGAGGAAGAAACAGGGCUUUCAGUUAGCACCAGACACCCAUCUGAGAUGGUGAUGGGUCUCAGGGCGCUGCUGUGAGGUCCUCCUGAGAGUUCCAGGGACGGGGGAGUUGGGGAGGAGGUGCGGGAGGCAGAGGGGAGGAGGUUGGGGAGUGCAGAAGAGGAGCUGGGCAGGAUUCAGCCCAGGGUUCCUGUGUGCCCAGGGUUCCUGUGUGCGCCACUGGGGAGAGAACAACAACCCAUUGUUCUCCUUGACUGCUUUAUCCCUUCACAGGGACUCCAGAAAUUGUGGAUUGGGGACCUGAAGAAUCGGAGGACCUGGGGGCACGGCUAGAAGGAGUGUUGCUGGCUGGAACACCGGGCGUGCAGGGCGUGCAGGGCGGUAGUGGCGGGGGCGGU
ensembl:lncRNA